CCAGAGUUGCAGGCGUGUGAGCUUAUUUCUACCAAUCAGAAGCAUCCCAGUAUAACCUGGAUGCAGUGUGAGUGACAGAGGCGGCAAGGGUCACCCAUUGUGAUCCAGGCCUUCUGAGGAGCAUGGCAGAAGAGAAGCGCAGUCCUGGCAUUCAUCCCCUCAGCUCCUGGGGACUCAGCAGCCAGCGGAGGCAGCAUGAUUUUUCUGCUAGAACAGACUCAUGCCAGAAGUCCUGCCAGACUCGGCAAGAAAACAGAGAAACGAAAGGAAGCGGGAAGGACUGUAGGAGUCAGCUGACAGGGGCGAUGCAGUGGCCACGUGCUCCAAGUCAGGGGCUUCUGAACCCAGUUCUGUAUGCCCAGUGAAGCCACAUGGUGGCAUCCACAGAACAGAAGCUUUAGCGAUGGCUCCACAAAGGACCAUCUUCGCCUCCACUUCCACGCACAGCCAGUCUGAGAUCUCCCGGAUCUCGUGAACACACCUGAUCAUGGCUGACAAGGUCCCAGUAGAUAAUCAUGAUGGCGGCCGAUGGCAGCUAAAGGGAGACGACCAGUGGCGCUGCCUUCUAGGAGCCCGGAGCUUGGAGCUGCGCUCAUGGGGAGCGGGGGCGGGGCCUUGCUUAAAUUUCAAACAAAAAAAGGAUCAAACCAAAAAUAAAAGAAAAUAGAGGGAAAUGUAGACUAUCUUUGUGCAUUUUAAAUAUACAUAAAAUCUCCAACAUGGAUAAAGAUGUUAUUCGAUU
rnacentral:lncRNA from 1 species